CGGGUGUAGUUCAAUGGUAGAACUCCAGCCUUCCAAGCUGGCAGCGUGGGUUCGAUUCCCAUCACCC
rnacentral:tRNA from 1 species